GAAAAUUGGGAGGCAGGUCUGGGAGGCGGGGUUGAGCGCCCACCGUCUUGGGCGCGCCCGCGCCCCCCGCCAUCGCGGCCCCCGUGCCCCCGGCCCACACCCGCGCGGUCCCGGCACCGGCCUGCACCCCCAGGGUGCGCGGCGGCCCAUUUGGGUGCUGGAGAAUCUGGUAAAAGCACCAUUGUGAAGCAGAUGAGGAUCCUGCAUGUUAAUGGGUUUAAUGGAGAGGGCGGCGAAGAGGACCCGCAGGCUGCAAGGAGCAACAGCGAUGGUGAGAAGGCAACCAAAGUGCAGGACAUCAAAAACAACCUGAAAGAGGCGAUUGAAACCAUUGUGGCCGCCAUGAGCAACCUGGUGCCCCCCGUGGAGCUGGCCAACCCCGAGAACCAGUUCAGAGUGGACUACAUUCUGAGUGUGAUGAACGUGCCUGACUUUGACUUCCCUCCCGAAUUCUAUGAGCAUGCCAAGGCUCUGUGGGAGGAUGAAGGAGUGCGUGCCUGCUAUGAACGCUCCAACGAGUACCAGCUGAUUGACUGUGCCCAGUACUUCCUGGACAAGAUCGACGUGAUCAAGCAGGCUGACUACGUGCCGAGCGAUCAGGACCUGCUUCGCUGCCGUGUCCUGACUUCUGGAAUCUUUGAGACCAAGUUCCAGGUGGACAAAGUCAACUUCCACAUGUUUGACGUGGGUGGCCAGCGCGAUGAACGCCGCAAGUGGAUCCAGUGCUUCAACG
rnacentral:sRNA from 1 species